ACCAACCCGAUGCAAACUGCGAAUACCGGAGAAUGUUAUCACGGGAGACACACGGCGGGUGCUAACGUCCGUCGUGAAGAGGGAAACAACCCAGACCGCCAGCUAAGGUCCCAAAGUCAUGGUUAAGUGGGAAACGAUGUGGGAAGGCCCAGACAGCCAGGAUGUUGGCUUAGAAGCAGCCAUCAUUUAAAGAAAGCGUAAUAGCUCACUGGUCGAGUCGGCCUGCGCGGAAGAUGUAACGGGGCUAAACCAUGCACCGAAGCUGCGGCAGCGACACUAUGUGUUGUUGGGUAGGGGAGCGUUCUGUAAGCCUGUGAAGGUGGCCUGUGAGGGUUGCUGGAGGUAUCAGAAGUGCGAAUGCUGACAUAAGUAACGAUAAAGCGGGUGAAAAGCCCGCUCGCCGGAAGACCAAGGGUUCCUGUCCAACGUUAAUCGGGGCAGGGUGAGUCGACCCCUAAGGCGAGGCCGAAAGGCGUAGUCGAUGGGAAACAGGUUAAUAUUCCUGUACUUGGUGUUACUGCGAAGGGGGGACGGAGAAGGCUAUGUUGGCCGGGCGACGGUUGUCCCGGUUUAAGCGUGUAGGCUGGUUUUCCAGGCAAAUCCGGAAAACCAAGGCUGAGGCGUGAUGACGAGGCACUACGGUGCUGAAGCGACAAAUGCCCUGCUUCCAGGAAAAGCCUCUAAGCAUCAGGUAACAUCAAAUCGUACCCCAAACCGACACAGGUGGUCAGGUAGAGAAUACCAAGGCGCUUGAGAGAACUCGGGUGAAGGAACUAGGCAAAAUGGUGCCGUAACUUCGGGAGAAGGCACGCUGAUAUGUAGGUGAAGCGACUUGCUCGUGGAGCUGAAAUCAGUCGAAGAUACCAGCUGGCUGCAACUGUUUAUUAAAAACACAGCACUGUGCAAACACGAAAGUGGACGUAUACGGUGUGACGCCUGCCCGGUGCCGGAAG
rnacentral:rRNA from 1 species